rnacentral:rRNA from 1 species
ACUCCUCGGGAGGCAGCAGUGGGGAAUUUUGGACAAUGGGCGAAAGCCUGAUCCAGCCAUGCCGCGUGCAGGAUGAAGGCCUUCGGGUUGUAAACUGCUUUUGUACGGAACGAAACGGCCUUUUCUAAUAAAGAGGGCUAAUGACGGUACCGUAAGAAUAAGCACCGGCUAACUACGUGCCAGCAGCCGCGGUAAUACGUAGGGUGCAAGCGUUAAUCGGAAUUACUGGGCGUAAAGCGUGCGCAGGCGGUUAUGUAAGACAGUUGUGAAAUCCCCGGGCUCAACCUGGGAACUGCAUCUGUGACUGCAUAGCUAGAGUACGGUAGAGGGGGAUGGAAUUCCGCGUGUAGCAGUGAAAUGCGUAGAUAUGCGGAGGAACACCGAUGGCGAAGGCAAUCCCCUGGACCUGUACUGACGCUCAUGCACGAAAGCGUGGGGAGCAAACAGGAUUAGAUACCCUAGUAGUCCCAUGA